ACGGAGGGUGCAAGCGUUAAUCGGAAUUACUGGGCGUAAAGCGCACGUAGGCUGUAGUGUAAGUCAGGGGUGAAAUCCCACGGCUCAACCGUGGAACUGCCUUUGAUACUGCACAACUUGAAUCCGGCAGAGGGUGGUGGAAUUCCACGUGUAGCAGUGAAAUGCGUAGAUAUGUGGAGGAACAUCGAUGGCGAAGGCAGCCUCCUGGGCCAGUAUUGACGCUCAUGCGCGAAAGCGUGGGGAGCAAACAG
rnacentral:rRNA from 1 species